rnacentral:rRNA from 1 species
ACAGCAGUAGCCGCGGUAAUACGUAGGGUGCGAGCGUUAAUCGGAAUUACUGGGCGUAAAGCGUGCGCAGGCGGUUGUGUAAGACAGGUGUGAAAUCCCCGGGCUUAACCUGGGAACUGCGCUUGUGACUGCACAGCUAGAGUAUGGCAGAGGGGGGUGGAAUUCCACGUGUAGCAGUGAAAUGCGUAGAGAUGUGGAGGAACACCGAUGGCGAAGGCAGCCCCCUGGGCCAAUACUGACGCUCAUGCACGAAAGCGUGGGGAGCAAACAGGAUUAGAUACCCCGGUAGUCCCUGUCUCUUAUAC